rnacentral:rRNA from 1 species
GACGAACGCUGGCGGCGUGCUUAACACAUGCAAGUCGAACGGAAACGCCCUGCCUUUGUGGGGUUCUCGAGUGGCGAACGGGUGAGUAACACGUGAGUACCCUUCCCUUGACUUUGGGAUGACUUCCGGAAACUGGGGCUAUUACCCGAUCGGAGCUCCUGCUGCAUGGGGGGGGCUGGAAAGUUGCGGCGGUAGGGGAUGGUCUGGGGGCUUAUCAGCUUGUUGGUGGGGUAGGGGCAUACCAAGGCUUUGCAGGGUAGCCGGCCUGAGAAGGUGACCGGGCACAAGAGGACUGAGGUACGGCCCAGACUGCUACGGGAGGCAGCAGGGGGGAGUAUUGCACAAUGAGGGGAAGCGUGAUGCAGAAGCGCCGCGGUCGGGAUGAAGGCCUUCGCGGUGUGAACCGCUUGCGCCUGUGACGGAGGGGGAGUGACGGUAAUGGGUAAAGAAGCACCGGCUAACUACGUG